AGUUUUUUUACGUGUCGUCAAAGACGGAAAGUGCUGGACUCCCUCAGUUGUGAGCAGUGAAGAGCAUAACGAGUCACACGACCCCUCCCCCUCGGGACAGCGGUCAGUGAGAGUAACCUGUGUGUAGGAUGAUGGCCGCAUGAGGUGAAUCCCUGGAACUUUUCCCCGUCGAAAAAGGCGAAGUCUGCUGUAUGGGAAUUUCUCGGUGGCUGAGUCUCAUGGAACCGUUCGGACGACAGAUCAAAGCCUCUCACUCUCUCUGUGCUGGUCCAGCUAGUCUGGCGAUGCUAGCCAUCAGUCCUGGAUCCAAAGACAGGCUUCUGCCUUCACAGACCAUGGCUUGGAUUGUUUCCCCAAGUGCGGACAUUGGGCUUUGAUGGAACAAAAGGAAUGAACAGCAGUGCUGGCAUCCUCUCAAAUCUAUGAUGGUGGUCUUCUCUUUGGGCUUCUGGACCCUUUGGAUGGGAGAACAGCUGAUAUAAAUGUUAAUUUGUUGGCAGGAGCAGCAAAUGGUGCCGCCAAGCUCUGGAAAGCUUGAGAGACCAUGAAAGCAGCCGGGAUUAGACAACAUCUCUGCCAGUGACUCGACCCGUCCCUGUUCUGCUAUCGUCAGAUAAUGCGUUCGCAGAGACCACCUUCAACACCUGGACAAAGACCUCCAUCCACGUCCUGUUUCAGCAAACACCACAAUCAGUCUCCCAUCAAAACCUAAAUGAACGGCCAUCAAUAUUGAUCUAAAUAUGUCACAACUGAUUUAUUUUUAGCUCGGUCCUGACAAAAGAAAAUGCAUCGAUGUGGAUUUGGCCUCUAGAGCAGCCAUAUGUUCCAGCCAAGCGAUGAGACAGAUACUGGAUGUUUCUCACCGCAUGUGGGCUCCAAGAUGGAUCUGUCUGAAGCCUCGCGGCUCUAAAUGACAGCGAAGACGUGACAGUAGUCUGAACACACAACCAAGAUCAUCCAAACACAGCUAAGAUCAACAGCUCCGGGCAUUUGCAUAUUAAGUGAAGUUUCUGUUUUUAAUCUCAGACGUUUUCUCCUCUCGUAGGCCCGAAAAGCCGAAUCGUUCCGGUGUUUAAUCUUGUUAGGUGAAAAAUGAAUGUUUUCAGUUUUGAGUGUGGCGACGUAAACAGACUACUUAAGAUAUAUGGGAAUAAAGACAAAGAGAAAAGACAUGCCUGUUGUUCCGGUGAGAGGACUACUUCAAGU